GAAUUUUGGGCAAUGGCCGAAAGGCUGACCCAGCGACGCCGCGUGCGGGAGGAAGCCCUUCGGGGUGUAAACCGCUGUCAGAGGGGAAGAAUGGUAGACCGGGGAAUAACCGGUCUGCGUGACGGUACCUUCCAAGGAAGCGCCGGCUAACUCCGUGCCAGCAGCCGCGGUAAGACGGAGGGCGCGAGCGGUGUUCGGAAUUACUGGGCGUAAAGCGCGCGCAGGCGGGGAGAUAAGUCGGGAGUGAAAGACCGGGGCUUAACCCUGGAGCGGCUUCCGAGACUGUGUUCCUUGGGACCGGUAGAGGCGGGUGGAAUUCCCGGUGUAGCGGUGGAAUGCGUAGAGAUCGGGAAGAACACCGGUGGCGAAGGCGGCCCGCUGGGCCGGAUCCGACGCUGAGGCGCGAAAGCGUGGGGAGCAAACAGG
rnacentral:rRNA from 1 species